rnacentral:ncRNA from 1 species
AUUUAAGCUUAACUUACACAUGCAAGUAUCAGCGAACCAGUGAAAACGCCCUCUAUCUUAUCACAAGAAAAAGGAGCCGGUAUCAGGCACUUCAUAGCCCAUAACACCUAGCAUCGCCACGCCCACAAGGGUACUCAGCAGUGAUUAAAAUUGCCUAUAAGCGCAAGCUUGAACCAGUUAAAGCUUUUUAGGGCCGGCUAACCCGGUGCCAGCCGCCGCGGAUACACCGCCGCAGGGCCCAAAUUGACGAUAAACGGCGUCAAACGUGAUUAAAGAUUAAUAAAAUUAAAGUUGAACACAGCAUCGUUGUUAUACACUUCUGCUUAAAAAACCUCAAAAACGAAAGUUACUUUAAUUUCUUGACUACACGACAGCUAAAAAACAAACUGGGAUUAGAUACCYCACUAUGUUUAGCCGUAAAUAAACUUACACCCCCAACACGCCAAAGGAUUACAAGUGCAAGCCUAAAACUUAAGGACUUGACGGUGUCUCAUCCUCCUAGAGGAGCCUGUCCUAUAAUCGAUAACCCCCGAUAUACCCGACUGCUUUUUGCCUCUCAGCCUGUAUACCUCCGUCGAAAGCUUACCUUGUGAAAGCCACUUAGUGAGCCAAUAGGCUAUUACGCCAUUAUGUCAGGUCAAGGUGCAGCCAAUAUAGCAGCAGAGAUGGGCUACAGUUUCUAUAAUAGAACAUACAGAUGGAUUUCCAAUGAAACAGACCAGAAGGCGGAUUUAGAAGUAAAAAGAAAAUAAAGAGUUCUUUUUAAUUAGGUCCUGAGACAAGUACACACCGCCCGUCACCCUCUUCAAACAA